rnacentral:rRNA from 1 species
UACGUAGGUGGCAAGCGUUGUCCGGAUUUACUGGGCGUAAAAGAGCUCGUAGGCGGUUUGUUGCGUCGGCUGUGAAAUCCCGAGGCUCAACCUCGGGUCUGCAGUCGAUACGAGCAAACUAGAGUGUUGCAGGGGAGACUGGAAUUCCUGGUGUAGCGGUGAAAUGCGCAGAUAUCAGGAGGAACACCGGUGGCGAAGGCGGGUCUCUGGGCAACAACUGACGCUGAGGAGCGAAAGCGUGGGGAGCGAACAGG